CAGCAGCCGCGGUAAUACGAAGGUCCCGAGCGUUGUUCGGAAUCACUGGGCGUAAAGGGAGCGUAGGCGGCGUGGUAAGUCAGAUGUGAAAUCCCGGGGCUCAACCCCGGAACUGCAUCCGAUACUGCCAUGCUAGAGGAUUGGAGAGGUAGCUGGAAUUCUUGGUGUAGCAGUGAAAUGCGUGGAGAUCAAGAGGAACACCCGUGGCGAAAGCGAGCUACUGGACAAUAACUGACGCUGAGGCUCGAAGGCCAGGGUAGCGAAAGGGAUUAGAUACCCGGGUAGUCCCUGUCUCUUAUAC
rnacentral:rRNA from 1 species